UACGGAAGGGGCAAGCGUUGUCCGGAAUCAUUGGGCGUAAAGAGCGCGUAGGCGGCCAGAUAAGUCCGGUGUGAAAGUCACAGGCUCAACCUGUGAAUGCCGCUGGAAACUGUCUGGCUAGAGUCCGGGAGGGGCGAGUGGAAUUCCUGGUGUAGCGGUGAAAUGCGCAGAUAUCAGGAGGAACACCAAUGGCGAAGGCAGCUCGCUGGAACGGUACUGACGCUGAGGCGCGAAAGCGUGGGGAGCAAACAGG
rnacentral:rRNA from 1 species